rnacentral:rRNA from 1 species
AUUGAACGCUGGCGGCAGGCCUAACACAUGCAAGUCGAACGGUAGCACAGAGAGCUUGCUCUCGGGUGACGAGUGGCGGACGGGUGAGUAACGUCUGGGAAACUGUCCGAUGGAGGGGGAUAACUACUGGAAACGGUAGCUAAUACCGCAUAACGUCGCAAGACCAAAGUGGGGGACCUUCGGGCCUCACACCAUCGGAUGUGCCCAGAUGGGAUUAGCAAGUAGGUGGGGAAAUGGCUCACCUAGGCGACGAUCCCUAGCUGGUCUGAGAGGAUGACCAGCCACACGGGAACUGUGACACGGUCCAGACUCCUACGGGAGGCAGCAGUGGGGAAUAUUGCACAAUGGGCGCAAGCCUGAUGCAGCCAUGCCGCGUGUAUGAAGAAGGCCUUCGGGUUGUAAAGUACUUUCAGCGGGGAGGAGGCGGUGAAGUUAACAGCUUCACCGAUUGACGUUACCCGCAGAAGAAGCACCGGCUAACUCCGUGCCAGCCGCCGCGGUAA